GUCUGGUAAUCAGAGAGAUAGACAAGUGGGUAAGUGAAUUAUUGAAAUAAGGAGAUCUGAAGAGACAAAAAAAGAGAAAACUCAUACAAUGGAGUCCAGUAAUAGCCUAGUCUAAGCACAUCAUUUUGUGUCUGUGAAUUUUAGAUGAGCUCCCCCUGAAUGUACACAUACUGUUUUAACUUACCAACACACCAAUGCAAUAAGAAACACACAAACCAUACUAUGAUUGUAUAUUCACACCAGGUGACAUACCUUACAAACACUAUUUAUUGCUAAUCAACUAUAGGAUUCAUUCAAUAAACAGUUAUGUUUAGUGACCUAACACCUUAAUGACCGCUGACGUUUCAGGACCGUCAUCGGAAAAAUACCCUUGAGGUAAAUAUCAGUGAUGAUAUUGUCAGUGAAAGUGAUGUUUUUUUGCAUUUUUCACACACAAACAGCACUUUCAC